rnacentral:rRNA from 1 species
UACAGGGGGGUGCAAACGUUGCUCGGAAUCAUUGGGCGUAAAGCGCACGUAGGCGGUUCGUUAUGUCGGAUGUGAAAGCCCUUGGCUUAACCGAGGAAGUGCAUCCGAAACUGGCGAGCUAGAGUACGAAAGAGGAUCGCGGAAUUCCCGGUGUAGAGGUGAAAUUCGUAGAUAUCGGGGAGGAACACCGGUGGCGAAGGCGGCGAUCUGGGGUCGAUACUGACGCUGAGGUGCGAAAGCGUGGGGGAGCAAACAGG